rnacentral:rRNA from 1 species
UACGUAGUGGGCAAGCGUUGUCCGGAUUCAUUGGGCGUAAAGAGCGUGUAGGCGGCCAGGUAGGUCGGUUGUGAAAACUGGAGGCUCAACCUUCAGACGUCGACCGAAACCAUCUGGCUAGAGUCCGGGAGAGGAGAGUGGAAUUCCUGGUGUAGCGGUGAAAUGCGCAGAUAUCAGGAAGAACACCCGUGGCGAAAGCGGCUCUCUGGAACGGUACUGACGCUGAGACGCGAAAGCGUGGGGAGCGAACAGG